GGUGGCUCAGUGGUAGAGCGCUUGCCUUGCGUGCAUGAGGCCCUGGGUUGCAUGAGGCCCUGGGUUCGAUUCCUCAGCACCA
rnacentral:tRNA from 1 species